AGAGAAGCCUGAUUGUUUCCCGAUAAUUAGAACAAGUAAAUCUGCUUCAUAUUUCAGGUUUGUUUCCUGUUAUGAGGUCUAUAUAAGAUGCCUGGUGAUUCUCUCUUAAUGUAGACAGUUCUACUGUGGUUCUGCAGACGCGUUAACAGUUAUCUACAGCCUGUUUCACUGCUACUCAUGGGGUGCACAAUUCUUCCGUGUAUGGCUGCCCUGCUCUUUUUCAGUGGGGUGGUGACAGUACACGCUACAAUGACAACAGAAGAGCCAACAACAACAGCAAUAGCUACAACAACAAUUCCAACAACAGAAGAGACAACAACAGGUAAAGUUUCACUGACAGUGUGUAUGUAUAAACGUGUGAACAUUAACUCCACCCAUUAUCCCAUUCCUUCAACUUAUGAGAUCUGAUACAUUUUUAAAAGGAACCCUGACACUGAAGACUUGUUGGCCUUAACACGCAGUAAUUGCCCUCUCCUACUAAAAUAAGUUGUUAGAAGCACAUGCAAUAUGUUAAUUACUUUAAAAAUCCUUUAUAUUUAAUACAUAUUUUAACCUGCCGAGGCCACCAUUACAUGACAUGCGCAGUGCGCUCUGAGUCCAUGACGUAAAAUGUUUGAGCACUCAAAAGAAUUAGCUACUAGCCCCAGCAACAUGAAAAUAAUGCCACACUGUGCUGCUUUUGGCUGUAAUUUUCUAGGUCUUGUGUGCUGUGAUAAAGGGAAUAUCUGUAAAUAUAAUCAAACCCGGGCACACGGUGGCACACGGUGGUUAGCACGUUCGCCUCACACCUCCAGGGUUGGGGGUUCGAUUCCCACCAUGGCCCUGUGUGUGCGGAGUUUGCAUGUUCUCCCCGUGCUGCGGGGGUUCCUCCGGGUAUUCCUGUUUCCUGCCCCAGUCCCAAAACAUGCAUGGUAGGCUGAUUGUCCAAAAGUCUCCGUGGUGUAUGAAUGGGUGCGUGAGUAUGUAUGUGAUUGUGCCCUGCAAUGGAUUGGCAACCUGUCCAGGGUGUACCCCACCUUGUGCCCAAUGCUCCCUGGGAUAGGCUCCAGGUUUCACCGUGACCCUGAAAAGGAUAAGCGGUAUAGAAGAUGGAUGGAUGGAUAAUCACAUCCGUAAGCAUCUUGUUAGUGUGCAUUUUCUCAUAAAGUAAAGCUCCUGUAAAAUGAGCUUAAAACGCCUAGCCAAGGCAUUCCCAAAGUCAAAUUAAAGCUGUUCUUGAAUCAUUUGGAGUACAUGCAUGGUUUUGGUCUCUUUUCAAAGCUGGACUAAAUAUUUUGACAUAAUUGGAUUGUUUGGACCUUUGCCAGUGUAACAGGACUGUUUUUGUCAGGAUGUUAUGGAUCAGUGGAUUACUAUGAGGCUUAGGUGAGUUGCCUCCAUGUUGUAAAUGUUUGUUUGUAUGUUGGUGGUCUGACAGAGACGUUGAUUGUAGCUGCUGUUGUGAUUGUAUCUCAAAACGGUUUAUAUCAAUCGAAUCAAAAGAAUUUUAGCUUUCCAAAGAUAUGAAUAGCUUUGUACAUAGAGAAGCUGUGUAGCUAGCAUAGAUUUGCUCAUAACAUGGCGACAGCACGCUGGCGGGCCAUAAGAAUUUUAACAGGAUAAAGUAUACGACGGCGAGAUGGCUGAUAAUCUCUAAAAAUGAUUGAUAUUAGAAUACAUUUCAUCAUGAAACGAUAGUUUAAUCCCUAUGCUUACCUUGAACAACAAACGCUCUCGGUUAGCAUAGACGUGCAGUUGCUGCACAAACACCAUGGAUUUUGCCUCACUCUUGCCUCCUCACUUCUCUAAUCAUCUUCAAUUUAAUGUAUGUUUUGAGUAAUGUCUUCUAUUUUAGCCUCCCCGCUUAUGUUACGCUCAGGUUCAAAUUGAAAAGGCUGAAGACAUGUUUAUAUCGCUGUAGGGUUGCAGGAGGAUCACAACUAUUGCAACCAUUUGACGUCACUACUCAGAAUACAUUGCAAUGUAAACAGCAAUGGUGGCCUACGAGUGCAAGGAUUUCUGUUAUUUAAUAAAAACCCUGACAUCUAGAGUGUUUUUGUAAAGAGGAUUUAUAUAGCAGAUGUUAGCCUUAAUCUAAUAAACCAUACAAGUCUUCAUAGACUGGGCUCCAUUUAAAUACACAUCAGUAUAUUUUAUCAUAAUGUGCAUGUGAAUCAUUCAUUUGUAUGUGACAGUGUGGGUAUAUAUGAACAUGUGAACAUUAACUCCACCCAUUAUCCUAUUCCUUCGACGUAUAGGAUCUAAUACGUUUUUAAAUACACAUCGGCAUAUUUUAUCACAAUGUGUGUAUAUAUAAUCCUGUGAAAAUUACAUCCACCCAUUAUCCCAUUCCUUCGACGUAUUGGAUCUAAUACGUUUUUAAAUAGACAUCAGUAUAUUUU
ensembl:lncRNA